AAGCUCUCAAAAUGACUGUGAAAUGUUGAUUCCUAUAUUCAUAUCACAGCCAUUUGAUGAGCUUGG
rnacentral:pre_miRNA from 1 species